rnacentral:rRNA from 1 species
UACGUAGGGGGCAAGCGUUGUCCGGAAUCAUUGGGCGUAAAGAGCGUGUAGGCGGCUUGGUAAGUCCGCUGUGAAAGUCCAGGGCUCAACCCUGGAAUGCCGGUGGAAACUGUCAAGCUUGAGUCCGGAAGAGGCGAGUGGAAUUCCUGGUGUAGCGGUGAAAUGCGCAGAUAUCAGGAGGAACACCGAUGGCGAAGGCAGGUCUCUGGGCAUUAACUGACGCUGAGGAGCGAAAGCAUGGGGAGCGAACAGG